rnacentral:misc_RNA from 1 species
AGUAACGGUACGUAGGGAUUAAAUAAUCAAUAAUUUUGGCUUGUCCAUCAUUAUCUAUUUACUGUGAACUGUAUUAUUACUUGACGCUUGAGGGAUGUUCCAAUGCUAUAAGGAUAGGCACUGGAAAUGUUAACCGAGUCAUAAUCAAGCUUAGGCUUGGUAUCCUAUUAUUAUUUACCAAAAGAAUUCAGAAUUAAUAUUGUAACAUAGACGUAAAAAAUCUAUAAAACAACUUUUAACAACGGAUCUCUUGGUUCUCGCAUCGAUGAAGAACGUAGCAAAGUGCGAUAACUAGUGUGAAUUGCAUAUUCAGUGAAUCAUCGAGUCUUUGAACGCAACUUGCGCUCAUUGGUAUUCCAAUGAGCACGCCUGUUUCAGUAUCAAAACAAACCCUCUAUCCAACUUUUGUUGAAUAGGAUGACUGAGAGUCUCUUGAUCUAUUCUGAUCUUGAACCUCUUGAAAUAUACAAAGGCCUGAUCUUGUUUGAAUGCCUGAACUUUUUUUUAAUAUAAAGAGAAGCUCUUGCGAUAAAACUGUGCUGGGGCCUCCCAAAUAACACAUCUUUAAAUUUGAUCUGAAAUCAGGUGGGAUUACCCGCUGAACUUAAGCA